AUGGAGAGGGUUUUCUCCUUCAUGCAGGAAUGGCGAGAGGUUCAUGAGAAGCUGAGACGGGAGACCAAACAAACGAUUCUGCAGAGGUGGACAGUGCCAGAGGAGGGAUGGGUCAAAGCUAAUACCGAUGGAGCCACGUCAAAGUUCGGAGGCAAGAGUGGAGGAGGAGUUGUGCUUCGAGAUCAUCAUGGUGCCUUUUUGGUGGGAGCGAGCCAUUUCUUUCCUCACAUAGUGGAGGCAGAGGCUGCGGAGAUCAUGGCAUGCAAGACGGCCUUGUUGGUGGCAACGGAGGCUAAUGUUCAGAAAAUACAACUAGAGCUGGACAACCAAGCUCUAGUUCAGAUGAUUAACAACCCAGAUAGGAUUUUGGCGUCGACGGGUUCAUGGGUGGAGGAGAUCAAGAUCAUGCUUUGA
rnacentral:rRNA from 1 species